UCGAUUCGAGCGCCGCGAGAAAGCGUUGCCGCAGGCAACGACCCGAAGGGCGAAGCGCGCAGCGCUGAGUCAUCCUUCCCCCACCACCA
rnacentral:sRNA from 1 species